rnacentral:rRNA from 1 species
UACGAAGGGGGCUAGCGUUGCUCGGAAUCACUGGGCGUAAAGGGUGCGUAGGCGGGUCUUUAAGUCAGGGGUGAAAUCCUGGAGCUCAACUCCAGAACUGCCUUUGAUACUGAAGAUCUUGAGUUCGGGAGAGGUGAGUGGAACUGCGAGUGUAGAGGUGAAAUUCGUAGAUAUUCGCAAGAACACCAGUGGCGAAAGCGGCUCACUGGCCCGAUACUGACGCUGAGGCACGAAAGCGUGGGGAGCAAACAGG